UACGGAGGGAGCUAGCGUUGUUCGGAAUUACUGGGCGUAAAGCGCACGUAGGCGGCUUUGUAAGUUAGAGGUGAAAGCCCCGGAGCUCAACUCCGGAACUGCCUUUAAGACUGCAUCGCUUGAAUCCAGGAGAGGUGAGUGGAAUUCCGAGUGUAGAGGUGAAAUUCGUAGAUAUUCGGAAGAACACCAGUGGCGAAGGCGGCUCACUGGACUGGUAUUGACGCUGAGGUGCGAAAGCGUGGGGAGCAAACAGG
rnacentral:rRNA from 1 species